rfam:Brassica rapa chromosome A9, whole genome shotgun sequence.
AGAAUAUAAAAACUCGUCUCUUAAUUUUUAACUAAAAGAACUAAGAACCGGCACCUAAAUAUCUUAUUGAAUAGUCGGUUCUUAACUUUUUUAGUUAACAGUUAAGAGAUGUGUUCUUAUAUUCC